AGGACAAUCAGAGACCCCAACUUCUGGGAGCCAGCGGAAGCUUGUACACCACACAUCUGUUUCAGAUCUCAGCCUCUAAGUGUUCAGGACAACUAAUAUCUACUCCAAAAGAUAUAUGGGAGAUAACCAAGUUGGCCUUCCUGGAAUUUUUAUGAUCAUCUCAGAAACUCAAUUUCAAGCCUCAAAUGAGUGACUUCAACAGCCUAAGUUAAUGAGCCUGUGAGGAGAGAGCUGCCAAAUUGCUCAACACUAGACCGGAAGGCUACUUAACAAGAAACUGUAACUCAGUCUAUGCCGAAAGACGACUUAUCAGUUCUUUUGACAAAGGAAGGGCCUAAAGACAACAUUUUUGGAACAGUUACAGCAAAAUCUUAUUACCAAAAUUUUUUUUUAAACUAAGCUGGUAGAAGGGUGCUCUAAGGAUGCUGAAGAAAUCUCUCACUGUCAGUGGGCUGAGAAAUGUAACCAUCCUAAAUCCUACCUCCAGGUUGAAGUUGACAGGAAAAUCUGUGGAAAAUUUACCAUUUUAUCUAGGGAGCUGCAGCAUUUCAGGAGAAUAUAAUGGUUUUGGGUAUGAAUUUAUAGCAUUCCAGCCAUCAGAGAUAGAUAACUUGGUAUAAGUCCAGUGAGUUCAGUUAUUCCGCACGUCUGGGGUACUCGAAAACCAUGAGCAAGACAAGCACAGAUGUUGUUCCUCAGGUGACUUAUGUUGACAGAAUUUGCUUUCUUAUUUCCAGUGUCAAAUCAGAGAGAGGGCAUUUACUGCGGUGUGGAGAAAAUCAGAACAGCUUCAGAAUCAACAAACUUGAAAGCUUUCAUUUCUGUCUUGGCUCUUACAAAGAAUAAAAACCAGAGUGUCUUUGAAGAUUAGUAAGUCAUAUUAAUGCUAUUGGGAGCCACUUCUGAAUAUGUAGGAGCAAAUAUUCUCAUGAAAACAAAUCUUGGAGUAAAGUAAACUUUCUCUUCUAUAUUCUUAAAGUCCACAGGUGAGGGGGGAAGGGAGCAGAUGAAGUCUUUACUGCACUUUGGAGUAGCAUUUGGAAAAACCUUUUCUUGUGUUAUGCAUGCUAUAUUCACUAUAAUGCUGGAAUCCCUAAUGUCUAUUCAAGGCAGAGAGGAGAAGCAGGAGAUAGAGUGCUGCCGUUAUAUUCAGGAAAAAUUAAGGUAUUCCUUCAGAUAUUUACAUAGUUGUGUGUCUCUGGACAAGUCAUUUAAGCUUUAAUGUCUCAAGGUUCCUUGUUUAUGAAAUGAAGAUCACAAUGGCACCUAUAACAGAAUUAUU